UCCUCUCCUCCUCCUCCUCCGAUUCUCUUCCAUCUCCUCUUCCUCCUCCUUCUCCUCCUGCUCCUUCUCAUCCUCCUCCUCCUCCUGCUCCUCUCUUCCUGCUCCUCCUCUUCCUGCUCCUCCUCCUCCUCCUCUUCCUCCUCCUCCUCCUCCUCCUCCUCCCCUUUCUUCUCCUCCUCCUCCUCGUGGCAUAACAACAUUGUUCUCGCUUUGAAAGGUACAGCCAAGUGCUUCGUUUUACAUUUUUCAAUUUUUGUACCAUAUACCCAACUGAGGAAGGCUGAGUUUUCAGCCGAAAUGUUUGGUUAUAUUCGUGAAAAAUAGCCUUGUUACCGGCUGUGUAAAUUGUUAUUUUAUUAUUGUAUAUCUUGUUACGGGCUGCGGAGCAUCAAUCAUAUCUCAUCCUCCUCCUCCACCACCUCCUACUCCUAACCGCAUCCAGGCGCCUUGACUGCCGGCUAAAAACUGAACGUCGGUGGAAAAUAGAUGCGAAACAGAGUGUUUCGAUUCAUGGAAGCGGGAGCUCCGAGAGGGAGACAAGUUAAUGAGUUGCGACGGUCAGGGAAGAGACUGACAGACAGACGGAGCGCCACUCUCGGCGGAGCGGCGAGGGGUCGGGGCGGGGAGUGCGGGGGUGCGGGGGUGGAAGAGAGAGGUGGUUAAUGGGAGAUAUAAACGUAGAUUUGAUAUUAGCCGCUUAUUAAAGACCCAGAAUCGGGUCAACGCGGAUGCAAGGCAGGGAACCGCACGGGAAGUGCAUGGAAAGCCCGAGUGCAUUCGCGAGAUGGGUCCCGUGUGUUUGUGCGUUGCAGUGCUCCUCGUCGUCGCCGCCGCAGCUUCCGCAUCCCAGAAUGCCCAUUCAGAAAAAACAGCGUCAAAUGAAGUCCCAGAAGAUGAUGGAGAGUCCCAGGAAUUCACUUUCCAUGAAAGUCAAAUCUCAACGGCAACCAACGCUGAAAAGGAAGUUGUGGCGUACAAGAAUAUUGAAGAGCUUACUUGCUACAUUGAAAAAAUUCAAGAGCACGUGCGGAAAGGAUGAAUAGUGCCACGUUUUUGCCUCCACGUUGCAAAUUUCUCAUAAAAAGGUAAAUCCAUCUUUGAAGAUAAAGCUUAAUCCGCUGGGGAAGUUUUGUGGUUGAGUUUUACAUAUUUACUAGACACCGGAGCAGUAAAUAGGUCACGAGUUCGAGUUUUCCGAUUUUCGGUGAUGAAGAUAAAAUUCUAUGGACCGUAUUCGAUAUUGGUUCUAUGUAUCGUUCGGUACCAAAUAAUAGAACAU
rnacentral:lncRNA from 1 species